CUACUUGCCUAAUACCGGGAACUUCGUGAUCAGGAAGGCGGAGACCCCAGGAGGAGGACCUUCCAUUGCACCUCGGAAAAGCUGAGACCU
rnacentral:snRNA from 13 species